rnacentral:rRNA from 1 species
AGGACGAACGCUGGCGGCGUGCUUAACACAUGCAAGUCGAGCGGAAAGGCCCUUCGGGGUACUCGAGCGGCGAACGGGUGAGUAACACGUGAGUAAUCUGCCCCUAGCUCUGGGAUAGCUCCGGGAAACCGGGAUUAAUACCGGAUAUGACCACUUUAGACAUCUGCUGUGGUGGAAAGAAUUUCGGCUAGGGAUGAGCUCGCGGCCUAUCAGCUUGUUGGUGGGGUAACGGCCUACCAAGGCGACGACGGGUAGCCGGCCUGAGAGGGCGACCGGGCCACGACUGGGACUGGAGACACGGCCCAGACUCCUACGGGAGGCAGCAGUGGGGAAUAUUGGACAAUGGGCGCAAGCCUGAUCCAGCCAUGCCGCGUGAGUGAUGAAGGCCUUAGGGUUGUAAAGCUCUUUCGCCCAGACGAUAAUGACGGUAGUGGGAGAAGAAGCCCCGGCUAACUUCGUGCCAGCAGCCGCGGU